rnacentral:rRNA from 1 species
AGAGUUUGAUCCUGGCUCAGGACUAACGCUGGCGGCGUGCCUAACACAUGCAAGUCGAGCGGGGUAGCAAUACCCAGCGGCAGACGGGUGAGUAACGCGUGGUCAACCUUCCCGAUAGUGGGGGAUAACUAGCCGAAAGGUUAGCUAAUACCGCAUACGAUCUAUGAGAGGCAUCUCUUAUAGAUGAAAGGAGCAAUCCGCUUUCGGACGGGACCGCGUCCCAUUAGCUAGAUGGUGGGGUAAUGGCCUACCAUGGCGACGAUGGGUAGCUGGUUUGAGAGAGCGACCAGCCACACUGGGACUGAGAAACGGCCCAGACUCCUACGGGAGGCAGCAGUGAGGAAUUUUCCGCAAUGGGCGAAAGCCUGACGGAGCGACGCCGCGUGUGGGAAGAAGGCCUUCGGGUCGUAAACCACUGUCGAAGGGGACGAUAAUGACGGUACCCUUGGAGGAAGCCCCGGCUAACUACGUGCCAGCAGCCGCGGUAAUAC